rnacentral:rRNA from 1 species
UACGUAGGUGGCAAGCGUUGUCCGGAAUUAUUGGGCGUAAAGCGCUCGCAGGCGGUCUUUUAAGUCUGAUGUGAAAUCUCGUGGCUUAACCACGAACGGUCAUUGGAAACUGGAGGACUUGAGUACAGAAGAGGAGAGUGGAAUUCCACGUGUAGCGGUGAAAUGCGUAGAGAUGUGGAGGAACACCAGUGGCGAAGGCGACUCUCUGGUCUGUAACCGACGCUGAGGAGCGAAAGCGUGGGGAGCGAACAGG